UUGGCCAUUUGUAGGGCUGAGCCUUGUCCUCCCGCUCUGGGAAAAUGGAACACCCCGGAGUUCUGCCUCCAAACGGAGCCUGGGCUUCAGCAGAACUUCUCGGCCUUUGCAGGAUGAGAUUUUUCUUUCCCAACAGGGUAGCAAAAAGCAAAGCAGACGUCCCUGAACUGUUGAGUAUCGCCGACCUCCUAAGAGUUCAGGGCAGACUGGAAGCCCAGGGGAAAUGACCAAUGAGCUGAGAACAUGCAUGGACCUCACCCUGCAGGGGCUCAAGGAAGAGCCUUCGGGCAUACACGACAAGGCCCAGAUAUUGAUCCAAUGCAGAGGAAUAAUGCUGGGAUUUAAAUCUGGAGAUGGGGAAAUGAGAUCUACGUGUAUUACAGCAACGGGGUGCCCCAGUACGACAUGAAAGAGCCAACCGUGGAGGUGCAUCUGGCCCGGCUGCGCUCCCACGCAGAACGGCUCCGUGUGGAGAACCUGCUGAGAGUGCAGAGCCGACUGCAGGCUGGAGGGAAGACGACCGAGCUGCUGAAAUGGGUGUAAAAUGGUUGGAGACCACUGCCCUAUGAGAACAAAUGCCAUCAAGCUGGAAACACCGGUCCCAGGAGGGAAGAGCACUUGGGGAUGGAGGGACACGGCCCCUUUGCUGGGACCCUGCGUCCAGCUGAGACAGAGGAGACGGACCAUUCCUCACGCACACCCAGCAGGCGGCUCCAGGAGCUGGAAUUACAGGUCCCGAGCUAAGGAAUUGCAACAGAGCGUGAGCUGGGCCGUGAGGAACCAGGGGAAACCAGAAUGAACCUGGGGCUGAGGAGCUGCGUGAGGCUGAUCUUUCACUUCCUGGGGGGGACCUGGAACAUCCUGGCGCCCUGCAUCCGAACUCAGAUUUGGCCGAUAUUCCUGUCCUUCA